rnacentral:lncRNA from 1 species
ACUGAGGUGAGCUGGAAGGACUAAUGGGAGGGAGGAGAGGUGUACUGGGGCCCCGGGGCAAGGCCCUGCUUUGCACUCAAGAUAAGAAUCCAGGGCUCUAAGGGGAGGUGGUGAGGGAGGGAGCCGCCCGUCCCGCCGUAUUCAAGGAGAAAGACACAUCUGGGGUCAAAUUAGAGAGCUGGUGGGGACUGUUUUCUGGUGCUGAGUCAGCUCCAGGAGGUCCCCUCUUCCCCACUGGUCCAGAAAGUCUGAAGCAGGAAGGUGGAAAAACAUUUCGUGCUCAGGGAGGAAACGUCUUCACCCCGGUUUACAGGAUGACACGUCAGCAGGGCCCUCACCAGAUGCUGGCCCCUUGAUCUCAGACUUCCCGGCCUCCUGCGCUGCCAGCCUAAUACACUUCUCUUCGUUGUAAAUUACUCAGUCUGUGAUAUUCUGUGAUAGCAACAGAAAACAGACGAAGACGCAGGCCAAGAUUCCUUGGUGGUCCACAGACCCUGGAGUAAGAAUCUCUGCCCUAGGGGAUGACAGGACUGUAAAAGGAAGGGACCUGGGUCCCUGAAUCACACGGGGGAAGUCACCUGCUGAAUCAGAACGCCUCAACAGCUAGCUAGCCAAGAAAUAAACGGAGAGCGUGGCAACCCA